GCAUAUUUACCGUGUCAGAUUCUCAGAACACUCCAGCUCCAUCUCCAAGAUCUACUACAACAAAGAAGUUGGUCUCUCCCCUACGGUGUCUUUCCUUGAAAGGGUUUGAAGAACCAGAUGAUGUGCUCCUAAUAUACGAGGUUCAGAUAAAGAAUUAACAGAUGAUUCAGAUAUGAGAGUUCUUGCUCCAAAUCUGAUCAGGAUAAUUGAAAACUCUAUCCUUUCUUUCCACCUUUUCCUAAAAAGGGACAAGAAAAGUCAAGUGGUGUUAUCAACCUGUUUGGAAAUCAGAACUAGCUUGCAACUCCUCUACAACAGAUCCAGUCUAAUAUUAAGAAGAAAUGUGACAAUCGACAAUGAUAAACUUUUCACUAGCAAGCCAAGAAGCUUCUGGAACAUUAUAAGCCUACCAUGUCAAACUGAAAGCCAAACUUUAUGAUUAUUCACAUCUGAGAGUGCUGUAAAGAGUAUGUUGGUUAGUCCACAAGUUAACAACCGAGUUGCAUUCAAGCUAUUGGCUUGAUCGUUUAUCUCAUGAGAGUGACAACAACAUAACACAUAUAAUAUGAAAUUCACGAUCUGAAUCUUCAUCAUGUGAUUGUUCUUGGUACCAUGUUUCACUAUUGGAGAAUAUUUGAUAUUCUGUAAAAAUAUUUGGUUGAAUGAAUGAAGUGGUUUUAUGUUA